rnacentral:rRNA from 1 species
AACGUAGGGUGCGAGCGUUGUCCGGAAUUAUUGGGCGUAAAGAGCUCGUAGGCGGUGUGUCGCGUCGGCCGUGAAAACCUGCAGCUUAACUGUGGGCUUGCGGUCGAUACGGGCAUCACUGGAGUUCGGCAGGGGAGACUGGAAUUCCUGGUGUAGCGGUGAAAUGCGUAGAUAUCAGGAGGAACACCUGUGGCGAAAGCGGCUCACUGGACCAUAACUGACGCUGAUGCACGAAAGCGUGGGGAUCAAACAGG